rnacentral:rRNA from 1 species
AGUGAACUCUGGCGGUAGGCCUAACACAUGCAAGUCGAACGGCAGCACAGUAAGAGCUUGCUCUUACGGGUGGCGAGUUGCGGACGGGUGAGGAAUACAUCGGAAUCUACUUUUUCGUGGGGGAUAACGUAGGUAAACUUACGCUAAUACCGCAUACGACCUACGGGUGAAAGCAGAGGAUCUUCGGACCUUUCGCUAUUGAAUGAGCCGAUGUCGGAUUAUCUAGUUGGCGGGGUAAAGGCCCACCAAGGCGACGAUCCGUAGCUGGUCUGAGAGGAUGAUCAGCAAAACUGGAACUGAGACACGGUCCAGACUCCUACGGGAGGCAGCAGUGGGGAAUAUUGGACAAUGGGCGCAAGCCUGAUCCAGCCAUACCGCGUGGGUGAAGAAGGCCUUCGGGUUGUAAAGCCCUUUUGUUGGGAAAGAAAAGCAGCAGGUUAAUACCCCGCUGUUCUGACGGUACCCAAAGAAUAAGCACCGGCUAACUUCGUG